CCUCGCGUUUCGGAAGCUGGCAUGCUUUAGCCUGUAUAAAAAAAACAUGUCACGUUUACAGCUAAAGUAGCUGACUAGAUAAGCAACAACACACGUUAGACUUAGAUAGAACUUGCAAUAUCCCAAAUUCACGGGUCUACUCGGGCUACAACAUACACACGACAGGCUCGGUAGUAAUUAGAAACACAGCUGACUCUCACAACUUACUAGCGCUAGCCGCUAACGCUAGCCGCUAAAGCUGCGCUACUAUCACGCUAGCAGCUAUAAUAUGAGCUGAGUGAAUGACCUCAGUACCAUAUAUGACACGAUUCGAACCGGACAAAUGCUGGAGAGGCUUGGACUCAUCCAAAUUGCGUGUCAGCACCUUGCAACACUGUCUCUCUCUGUCGCUGUAGCUGUUAGAUUCAACGUUCUAGCAAUUAGCAUUCGUUACACAGGAGGGAAGCUAUAUUAUAAACUAUUAUUAGAAACUACUACUACUAUUAGAAACUUCUGGAGUACAUGCAUCAAAUAAGUAUCAAGCAUGUACUUACGUUUGGGGAAGCAGCAAGUGGACGCUUCUUCAACCUGAGUGACUUCUUCUUUUUGUCUUUUAAAUGGCGGGUGGCAACCAACUGAAAGGUGCAUUAGCGCCACCUUCUAUGGUAGACUGUGCAGUGAGUGACUUUUUCUUUUGUCUGUGACUGGAGUGACUGAAACGAAAUGUUUCAGGUACAUUUAGGGGCAGACAGGGUAGACCCUGGACCGGAUUACUAGUCCAUCACAGGUCUAUAUAUACAUAAACAACCACUCAUUUCCUCACUAACAGCUCUAGACAAUUUAGACUCUCCAAUCAACCUGAAUGCACGUUUUUAGGCUGUGGGAAGAGUAAACUCAUACAGACUUAGGGUGAACAUGCAAACUUCACACAGAAAGGCUCAAACUGAAUUACCAGGAGAGCUCAUGUCAAAGUUUUUUUGGCCUGCUGGUGACACUGUGGACAAUACAUGAUGAUAGCUCUUCCACAUGUUGCUCCUCAUAAAUAUUCAUCCCUUCUAGUGGAUGUGUUGAUACUGACAUUUUGUCUUCGCCAGAUUCCUCAAGUUCUAGCUCAUUUGCUCAGUUACUGUGGUGGAAAUUUCCCAUAAACAGGCAGAUGAGAGAGUUGUCUUUUGUGAGAUUUAUUAUAAAAGAGAGAGCUAAGUCUCAACAGACAGAGAGACACAACUCCCCGGCCCUGGGUUUGGAAGCUAGAGUUCAGAGUCUAUGAGGCAGAGACAACCAUUGAACAAACUAGGUGAAACGUCAAAUACAUAAAACAGAAGUAAGACAAAACCUAAGAUAUUAAUUGCAGGGCAUAAGUCAUAAAUCAUACAAUAACUGCAUAGAAUAAGGAAGAAACAAUUUUCCCAUAACACUCCCUCCUUUUGAUUACACAUUAAUCAAACACUAAAAAUAAAAAUUGUCAAACAUCGCAUUUUGUAAUAAUAAAAGACCCUUGCAAAUGAAACAAUGAGUGUAUUAACUCAUCAAGAUUCAAAAAUACACCUUCACAUAAAAUGCAGGUAACUUAGGGAUAAAAGGUUGGGAGCCGUUUUUGUGGGUAGUUAUAAAUGAAUGACCUCUGUAUAAGGAUGUGAAGAAAAUAAGCCAAUAAUCAUAUUUGCAUCAGAUUCUAUUUCGUGAUCAGAUAACAAACAACAAAGAAAAGAGUAAGAGAGGAGAAAUAAAAAGAUUGUCACAAUAAGGAAUUACCUAUUGUAAUCUCCGCAUCAUCAUCGUCAUCAUCAGAGAAACCAGUCAUCAUUAAAGUCAUUAAGUGAAUUAGAGUCAGGGUUUCUGAACAUGGUGCAUUGUGUCAUUUGAUACAAGAGUGUUGUUGUAGUCGCAUGCAUGAUGAGACCUCUAACGAGUGGGAUAACGCAACACCCAGGCAAGAGAAUCACAGCCAUCACAAUUAUAAAGGAAACAGAGAACAGAUUUCCAUUUUCCAGACAUUUCGUCUAGCCAAUUCCAAAGGUAAGAACCUAUACCAGAGUUAGUUGCCCUUCAUGCCAUCACGUGUAACAUUAAUGAAAUGCCAUCGAUUGUACUAAAGACAAUUAUUGUAUGUUAGCCAUAAGUUUCCAGUGGGGAUCUGUUUCAUAUUAUUUUAAGAUAGUUUUCUUGCUUUCGGAUCAUUAAUUGUACAUUUGGGUCUAGAGUGAAUAGAAGAAUCAGGCAUUAACCAGAAUGAUGAUACAUAUUGCUGCUUAUGUUGUCUUAUAACCUCUAUCAUUUGUAGAUGAAGGAUAAAAACUAAUUGUAGCAGUGAAUAAAGUGAUUGUGAGCAAAUUAAACACCAAAUUAACUUAAGGAUACUUGAACUCAGUGUCAUUGUCAAAUUUUCUUCUUGACAAAUAGUGUGUAAAAUUACAUGUAAACAUCAUAUGAUUAAGGUAAUAAUCAGGUAAUGAGUAACAUAAAAUGAAGUCUAACACAACAAGGUUACAAUUGAUGUCUUUUAACAAUCUGCUUCCUGUUGAACGGUAGCGUUAGAUUGUUUCCAACCUGUGUGUUGACGCGUUGACAGUUCGUUGGAGUUCUUCAGCUGAUCACAGACACACUUUGUUAUCACCACCAGGUUCCCCUCCCAAUGUUGUCUCAGUCACUGUCACUCCUGUGAUGUGAAGAUUCUACAUGUUGUCCAGCAUCGGCAACUGAAGGCUGCUCGUGUGUGUGUUUUCUCAGGAGCGUUUGUGUACAGUAGUGUAAUGUUUGGUCUGACAGUGUGAUUCAUCGGUGCAGCUUUAGGCGGCGCUUGGCUCACAGCAGUCAAUGCAGCCUCGCGUGUGUAGCACAGCACAGUCCUUUUUAGGGCGUCUCACUUCUGGUGGGUUUUCCGUGGGGUGUAGACGGAGGGUUGUCUGUCAGAUCCGGGACCCUCCUGCAGUGGAUGGAGUGGAUCCAAGUCACUCUCUCUGUGACCUUUACAGCCGUGUGGGUCGUCAGAAGGACCUGAAAGGGGCCUUGCCACCGUUUGGAGUUCCAGUGCAACUCCAUAACGAUCGCCCAGUCCCCUGGUUGGAUGGUGUCUUCAGUAAUGGUCCUGUCGCCUGUUUUCACCUGUUGGGAAAUCGGAAUUGUGGAGAAACCAGACUCCAUGGCUACAGUUGGAACCAUUCGUCUGCCAGUGUCUGCGUUCCUGCGAGGUAGAAAAUGUUUAAAACACAGGGAACGAGGAAGGAGAGGGUGGAGAGAUUUGGAGAGGAAACAAGGAUCAGAAGAGGGAACAAGGAUCAGGAGAGGGAGGGGUUGCCGGGCAGCAAUUUUCGCAGCAGCGUCUUCAGCUUCAUGUCGGCUGAAACAAAGUCGUCACUGAUGGUGUGAGUUGGACAUUACCAAACAGCAUUAACUAUAGGUAACAGAACAAUGUCGAGCAAAGCAGCAAACUUAUCGUGAUGUAGGAUAGGUUUGCCAUCCAACUUCAAAAACUUCCUAUGCUUCCACAGAGCACCAAAGUGUGACACCAAAAGCAUCUCUGGAGUCCGUGUAGAUGAUAACAGACUCUCCUUCUGCUAGUUUACUGGCUUCAGUCAAUGCGGUCAACUCUGCAGCCUAAGCAGUCAAGCUUGGCAGAAAAAUAGAAUACAGGACAACAGAACAGAAGUCGUACAACCUAAUUUCUUAUCCACUGUCUGAGUAAAAGGUCGUGUAGGGUCAGAUCAGGGAGACCCAAAGUAGGAGCAGCUUGAGGUCAGUGAACGCUUGUUCAGCCUCAGACAUCCACGUGAGAGAAGAAGUGGACGAUGAAGACGUCUGCAUCAGAACCCUGAUUGGGGCCUCAAAGAAAGUGAAGUUAGCACUGAAGGUCUUACAAUAACAACCAAGACCUAGAAAAACAUAAGCUGUUUAUACAUGCACGGUUUAGGCAGGUUUCAAAAUGCUUCAGCGCUGUUGGGUGAGAUGGAUUUGCCAUCAGCUGUAAUUACAAUGACCCAGAAAAAUAACCUUUGUCUGAACAAACUAAUUUAGACAGACUCGCUUUGUGGCCUGUAGCAUCCAAUGUUUCAGUAGCUCAGUGGUGUCUGCCGUAACGUCAUCUAUGGCUUUCUUUCAGAGGGUGUUGUUUUUUUAAAUCGUCUGUGGUCAGAUUUAGGUGUGAUGACCACUGGUUCACAUCCUCUGAUCAAACCUACAUCAUAUCUGUGUGUGAGCCACAGGGAAGCAGGGGCUUCCUGUAAGGCUGAGUGUUGGGUCAGAGCAUCGUCUGAAAAAUAAAAGCAUGUAAUGUGUGUUAUUACAAUGCUGAGAUACCAAAUUCCCCGUGUGUUGCGCAUGACUGACAGCUUAAAAAAAGUUUUCAAAAAGCAUGUAAAUACGUUACAUGGGGGUUGGAAGUCGUUCACUAGUCUCCACCCCGUUGGCAUCUGUUCAAGACCCACGUCCUGUCAUCGGUCUCCAUCAUGUUUGACAGAGGGACGUAUGGAACUGUAGAAUAACAAUCAAAAAUCUUUUUGUUCGAUAGUAAAAGAAAUCGUAAGCGCAGACCUGUGUGAAGCGAGUCUUCAUUGCAAACCGAUGAAUUUGGAUUAAUUGAGCGUUAUCCAUUGUAAGCGUGUUUCUUCAUUGCGUGAAAAGGAACCGUCACCUUCCUCCCUCCCCAACUAUCAGUCUGAUGUGAGCGCCUGAGUGGGUGAAGCCUGACGUAGCAAGGGACAGUUCUUCUUCCAAUGCGAUGACAGACCUUACCUGGAUCCUCAGAUGCAGCUCUAUUGGGCCAAUCACGUUUGAAGCCUCUCCUGUUGUUUCAACCAGUGUCUGUGGCAGGGUGCGUCUCUAAGGAAGGCAGAUGUAGCUCACUCUGCUGUUUCUCUUUCCUUGUUUUCCUUUGCUGAACAUUGUCAUAAGCAGGUGUCUGUGUCAGACAGACUCUUGUAUGACUCUGAAGCUUCACAGACAGUCCUUUCAUGCUGGUGUAGGGCUUGUAGCGGCCUGGUAUCUCAGUUGGUAGCGCGUCGACCUCGGAAGGCAAAAGGUCUGUGGUUCGAUCCCCCGCCUCGGCAUCAGGUGUGUCCCUGAGCAAGACACUUCGCGCUAACUCCGCCGACCGCCGCUCAUGUGGCAGCUCACUGCUCCCCCAAGGGGGAUGGGUCAAAUGCAGAGAAUUAAUUUCCCCACUGUGGGACUAUUAAGGGUUCAUUUCUUUCUUCUUCUUUCUUGUAGUAGCUGGUGAGUCUGCCCAGAAUAUGAUGGCUGCAGACGUUGUGGGAGUCGGUGAGGCAUCCAUGCUGUGGUCUGUGGCCCCAUUCCACUCUUGUAGGGGUGGCGGACUCGGGGUGGGCCCCACUCUGGGCGCGGGGGCAUCUCCUAACGGGCUCCCUACAGACCAUGGGUCCUCGGCCUCCAUUCUCUUAGCCCUCCGACUAGGGGGAGUGGUGGACAGCGUUGACCCACGGUGGCCCACUCUAACCCCGGGUGCUGUCUCUGUGGCUGCUGCAGCUCUGCCUGGGGGGUUCCGUGUGGGCGGCUUGGGACUUGCAACACCUGCCCUCUUGGAACUGAAGGUGUGUGGGCUCCCUGGCUGCUAGAGUAUUCCCCUCUGCUCGUUGGCUGGGCGUAGUGGCCCGAGCUCUUCACAUCACCCUGGCUUUCACAAGUGGCACUGUUUAUGCACCAAAGUCUGCCUCACCCUUUGGAUGAACAAUGUUAAGCUACAGCUUUACUAACCUUGUAGUGGGACAGUCAACACCUGAGCUGAUAAACAGGCUUUCUAAACCCAACUGUAAGUAUUACUGAUACUUAUCACUACCAAUAUCAAUAAUGUGUAAAUAUGGAAAUUGUGAUGUUGUAUGUCAUGGAUAUUAUUAAGUAGUAUGAUAUAUGUAAAACAAUGCAUAUGUGUAUAUAUAUGAUGUUUGUAUGAGUAUGUGCGCAUACGUUAACACUAUUAUUGGUAUUAGUAUUAAUCUCAAAGGUAAACCACAGUACAGCAGUUGUUUAGUUAUGAAUGUGUCAGCCUAAGGUACAUCCCUGCUUAUUUAUUUUGCACCGAUUGUUUGCUAAACUGAUUGACUUGGUUUCAGCAGCUGGUUGCACCCCCAUCCCCCUUCCCCGCGCACACCCCCCAAAGCAGAACCUUAACCUGUCCACCAACACAGCUACAUCACACAAAUUUAGGAUAAGCUAAAUAAAACAUUAAAUAAACCAUUAUUCGAGAAGAGUAUAUAUAUUUCUUACUCCUCUUGUAAAGGAGCUUCCACCCCGGCUUCUGGUUGUUGGUCAGGCACUUCUUCUGCUGACGGUGGGAAAGGAGUGUGUGUGUUUGUGUGUGUGUGUGUGUGUGUGUGUGUGUGUGUGUGUGUGUGUGUGUGUGUGUGUGUGUGUGGCAGAGUGCAAACAAUUCCCAGAGUUGUUAUCUCUUUUCUUCCCAUUACUCUCAUCUCUCUUUUUAGGGUUUGGGUCAGGGGUUAGACAGAAUGGUCAGUCCGCAAUUUGGUUAGACUGGUUUUACGCCAUCCCUCUUCUAGUUCUGUGCCUUUACCUGAUCAAUUUCACAUGUUGUCUUUGGACAGACUUGGUUGAUGGGUCAGUUCUCCUGGAAAAAAAAACAAAAAAAACCCAAAACAGGUAAGUAAGAAGGGUUAAAUACAAGCUCAUCGUUGUGAUACAGGCAGAGGUCAGAAUACAGACGCAGAAUGGCAACAGGUACAGGAGGAGCAGGUAAUCGUGAAGUCUCAAAGGCAGGCUGGUCAGGCAACAGAAUAAGCAAGUACUGUAAGUCUACGGUACAGGCAAGGGAUAUGCAAAUAACAGCCUCGGUAAACAGGUAAUCAAAUUAAAUACAGAUUAAUACAGACAAAUACGAUUAAAUACAGGGAGGCUAGAUGACUGAUUGACAACAGCUGGGACUAAUGAGCAAAAGUAAAGUGAACACAGAGCCUGGUGUAACGUAAAACCGGAAACUACAAAAUAAAACAGGAAAUACAUGCAAACAAAACUUGAUUGUGACAUUUUCAACAUGUCUCUGAACUCAUUUGUUGUGUUUGUUAAAACCUAUGUCACUGUAGCUUCUGAACUUAUGUGACUUAAAGUCAGAUUUAUAUUAUAUAUUAUAUUUUUAUUACUUAAAAUUUACAAUACAUGUGUAAAUCUAUACAGUAUAUUUAAAAUCUUUGCACACUCUCUCUAUUGCAUAUGUUGCCUUGUUUUUCGGCCUUAUACUGUUUCUCUUCUUAAGCUGGUUAACAAGAAAAUUUCCUCAAUGUAGGAUUUGGCAUGACCAACCAUCGGAGACUGCUCCCUUCUGGGCGCCUUUCAGGAUCAGCACUGUUCGGCUGUUCUGGUCACUGGAUCUUGUUCAGAAAGGUUGCUGUGGACUAUUCUCAAGUCCACCCGCCACUUGGCAUUGCUGUUAUGUAAUGCCUCCUUCUCCCAUAUGCUUUUUCAGUAUUCUUCGGUCAUUAGCGUUGGUCGGUCUGCUCUUCACAUACUGCAUUCACAUCUUAUAGCAGACUAUUAUAAAGGUGCUUCACUUAUACUUGAUAACUGCUCUCGGGGGUUCCAGGUGUCUAAAGUAUCUUAGCCAUGAUCUUUUUUAUAUCAGCUGCUCUCGCAUUAAACUCUGUCAUUAUUGGGGCUUGGAACCCAAUCUCUCAUUGUGAGAAGGAUGACGAUUUCUCCCCCUACGACCUGGCAUCCUAGCUCCCCCUUGCCGUAGCAUUUCAGUUCAGUUCAGUUAAAUUGUAUUUAUAUAGCUGUAGCGGAUUCAAAUUAAUAGUUUGAUAUUAAUGCAGAAACAUUAAUAUUCCUCGAAGUUGGGGCCCCAGGUUUGUUUUAAAGCUGAAACCACGCUUGUAUCAAUGUGGUCAACGCCAGAUGUGAAUUCAAUGAGUUACCAGUUAUGAACAACCAGAUUCCUUUUAACGUUUUAUUAAUCUAACACUACUGGAUAUAUGAAUAACAUAAUAUGGAAAUACUCAAAUAAACCAAACAGAAAAUGAGAAAACAAUCAGAAAGAGAUGAUCAGCAGUAAAUGAAUCAUUGAGUGAAAGUCCAAGGAAUGGUCAAGACCUCAGUGUGUGAUGGCUUUGAUCAAGCGAAAAGAGUAUUUGUUUCUAACUUAUACAUUUCUAAGGAUAACUAAUGAAUUUAGAAUGUUCAAUUUAGCGCUUUGAGAAACACCAGAAUUCUCAGAGGAUUAGAGAUGCUUGUCUUACCUUAGUUUGGAGCUGUAGGCCGCUGUGCAGCGUCUCCCGUUACCGGCUUGGUUGAGCAGGCGUGCCCUCUCUGAUCCAGGUGCCACGGCCUCUGGGCCAGGAAUCGUCGCCCGCGGUGAUGAUGACUGCUCGAGGUCAGCAACUUAACAGUCAGCCAGGCUGGACUUUCCAAGGUGUUUCAAAACGUCGGCGCUACUUAAACAAGCCCAACAGGGAAAAGGGCUGGAAUCUAAUUUAAUUAGUUCAAUCAAAAAAAGCGAGUCAAUUAAGGUCUGUUUGUAGUAGUUUCAGUUUUGCGUAGUUUCUUGAUGACUUUCUAACGUAACAAAAUUAGUUGUUCGUUUCUGUUUCUAACUUAAACCCUUGGUUUACAAAAUUUAGGAACAAAGGAAAAUUAAAGAAAAGUAAUGCGGUGGUGAAAGAAGUUUGAAGAGAAAUCCGAUUCGACUAGGUUGUCACUGGUUUAAAUACCCCUGGGGCAGUGGUCACAGCAGGGCGGAGAAAUUAGUUCAACCAGUGGUGAGAGUUCCACCUCUUCAGAUCAGGUAUCAAACUAUUUGAUUUGGAUAGCUCCUAAAUCUGGGAUAACUAAGUUUUUCUCUUUUCAUCAAGCUCAAAGUUCCAUCACACCAUAACACAGUACACAUGUAACAAUAGUUUCUUAAUGUAGACAUUACUAAUUAAACAAUUGUAACACUUAGAAAUGUAAUACACUAAUGAGGAUACCUAAUUGUAGCUGGUGGACAUAGCCUAUAUGCAUGUUGCACAGAUUAAAAGAGGUAAAGCAGGUGAGUAUCUGUAUUUCAACUUUGUACAUUCACACAAAGGAAAGCAUGGUGAUAAGUUGAAGUCCCUUUGUAACUUGAGGAAUUUCCUGGCAAAUCUGUAGAUCAGGCAUUAAACAUCACACAGAAACCAAUCUAAUAUCAAAUGAUAACAUUUUGUCCACAGAAUACAAUGGCAGUUUCAUGGAAGUUGAAAGUUGUGGUGCAUCUGAACCAGAACUUGUGUCCAAAUGAAGUCUCUUGUUCUCUUAAUGGGUACAUUCCACAUUUUAUGGCUGGUGGUCCCAGUUCUGGGAGAGGCAGCUUCUCGGUGAUAAAUGUGACAUUUGGCAUGAUAAGCAGAUGUGGAAUCCUGUGAGAUUUACAGGUAGAUCAACAAAGUGGGCUCAUAGUUCUUUGAUAUGGACAUUUGAGAUGUUGGCGCCAAUUGGUGCCUGUUGUAAUAGAAGCCAGUCUCCUGUUAAGGAGAAAGUGUUGGAGAAAUACUACAUUUAAUCAUUGAAACAUUGUUGGAAUUUAUUUUGCUGAUCUGCUCAAGCCUUGUCAGCUGUGCUAUAGCCUUGAAGUUUUCUCCCUUCUGCUCUGCAAGAAAUAGGGAGUACCAGUGUGUAGCAUCCUUAUCUGAUGUGCCCAAUGCUUGCUUUGUGCAUAGAAUAUUUUCUACGUACUGUGUGACUAUGCACCUCCCAGAAUGCAAUACAUAUUAUGAGCUGAAUCCCUGUCUUCUCUUCAGUGAGAGGAAGUUGCCUUUGCUGUAAACUGCUCACUCCUUGCAAGUAAAAUCCUGAAGAAGGUCUUAACUGAUUGUGUCUGCUUUAUUUAAGAUUUACGAAGGGAACUAACAAUUUCCCUAACAUAAUUGGGGGCUCGUCCGGGAUCCCAAGAUCCUCGCUUUGCCGGGACAUCGAGUCGGCGACUGAAGUCUGUGCACAGCCAGGUUUGGAACCUGCAGAAAAUCCUGGGAGGUGAAUUCCUGCCCAGGUCAGACGUCGGCUGGUGGUCCGACGAGGCGAGGUGACGGGAUCCUGAACCAGGGCCAGGACACAGAUCAGGCGAGUAUGAAAAGAGUAAAUCCUAAGGUAUCUUAAAUUCCGUGAGUGGCUCACGAGGUAAAAGAAGACUGGGUCUUCAGAAAAUUCCGUGACGAGGUCACGAGGUAAAAGAGGACAGGGUCCUCGUAAAAUAGAUUAAUGAUAGUUUGUCUGAUUGAAGCAGCGGCAGAGUGGAAACCUGACGGUGUCAACGUAAACUCUGUGAUCAGCUGGAGUAAAUCAGACUAUAUAAAUAAGUGUUAUUGUUUGUCGGUCUCUAAGUGAAUUUUAACUUCUUAGAGGAAGUCUCAGAGACCUUUUGUGUUGUGUGUCUGAUUGAGAUCAAAAUUGAGAGGUUGGUUUACUGAGACAGCUGUGUCCGCAGGAAACUAGUUCCUGUAGAAGCUUGGCACAGUCGAUGAUCUCUGUGAACACUGUGACUGAUCGUUGAUCUCAAUCCUCGUAGUGAAGCAAAUUAAAGAACACUAAGGGUGAAAACCUUGAAGGUGAUUCCAAAUACAUGUCUAAAAGACAUUCUCAGUCGACUAUAAUAAUAUAUACAUACCUUACCUUAGUGGAAAAAGAAAUUUGGAUUUGAUGGAAAUUUAAAAAAGUAGAAUUGUGUAAAAAAUUUGAUGGAUAAAAUAACUGUGAUAACUGAAACAGUUAAAAGAACAAGAUGGGGAAUAUAAUAAAGGGACCAGUUAAAAAUUCAUGCUAUAUGCACAACAAAAUUUUGAAUAAAAAAUAAACACUAAAGGGGUGUAUAAGUAUGGAACAAAUUAAGUGAAGACAUAAAAAAUAUUAAUGAAAUGAUAGAAAUAUAAUAGAAACUAUAUAAUAGAUAUAAUUUAAUAACUGUUUUAUAUUAAUAUAAAAAAUAACCUAUAAUACAAUAAUAAUAUAAUUGAUGUGCUUAAAUAUAAAUAUAAAGGCAUGCGUCAAUUAAAUUGAUUAAUUAGAUGGAAUGUUGUGGAAGUGGUGCACGAAUAUUAACAUUCUGUUAUAAUUCCUUUUUGUUAAAAUACUUUAUGUGGUGUAUGAAACUAACAGUCUAUGUUCAGAUAUUGAAUACAAAUCAAUGAAAUGAAGCAAAAGCAACAAUGUUUGUUGUAGACAGUGAAGAAUGCUGUUGGCAAGAUAACAGUGGACAGAGAGGACGUGACAGAAAAAGGUUUAGAGGAUGUGGUGGACGACCAUUUAGGGUGAGAAAAGUGAGAGUGACGUUGAUGAGGAAGAACCUCAAGUAAAAGUGUACUUAUGUGAAAGACUGCAUGAUUACCCACAAGUUACUCUAACCAUAUUUGUCAAAAAGGAAAUGAAAAGAGUGUAUGAUUGGAAUCCAAAAUAAAAGUGUGAAUACAGCUCAAUGACGGUGUGAAAGAGAAUAGCUCUGAACUGGAAAACCCAGACUGUGCCCACAGCCCACCUUAGAGGAAAUCAACAAUCAGCAACAGCGUGCUUACGGUUUGGCAGAGACGCUGCCCAUACUGCACGGCUGAGGCCACAGACCAGCUGACUGUCCACAGAAUUAUUCUGCUGGAGCAAAGUGAUGGGCGAGAGGCCGAUGGGGUUCCAGUACCAGUGUAGAUAACACUGAGGAGGGAGGUGAAUGCACUGACACACUCCACAAUGAAGAUACACACGCACGCACACGCAGACGCACUCACUGAUGAUGUCACAGCUAACAGCAAUGAAGAAUGCUUGCUAUGCUUAGAUUUAGAAAUGCUCACAGCUAUGCAAUGAAGAAUGCUUGCAACGCAUUAUUAAUAAUGCCUUUUGUAGCAUCCCAGUUCCCCCAGGUUCACAAUUUUGUUUGCGUUUACUUACAAAGGUCAGCGAUACACAUACACCAGGCUACCCCAAGGUUAUUGUAAAAGCCCGACUAGUUUCCGACUAGUGUAUGCCAGCAAAUUUUGCUGAAAUUACACCCCCACACAGUAGUCAGAUAUUACUGUACGCAGAUGAUGUUCUGGUAGCGUCACAGACUGAAGAAGAAUGCAGGAAAGAUACUGUAGCACUUCUUUCUUUUCGGCCAGAGAACAGUCACAAGGUCAGUAAAAACAAACUGCAACUGUUGAAGAAAGAACUUAAAUAUUUAAAACAAAGUGAACAAAAAUUGAUCCAAAUAAAGUUUUCAAAAGUAGAGAACCUAGACCAGAUUUACAGGACAACCCAAUACCUGGUUCUGUAUUUGUCUUUGUGGAUGGACCAAGCACAAAGUCUGAAACUAGAAAAACGCAGAGUGGCUGUGUGGUUCUGACUGAUAGUGAGCCCUUGAAAGCAGAACCGCUACCCCCACACUACAGAGCACAAGCAGCAGAAAUAAUUGCACUGACUAAGGCAUGCAAACUCAGGUCAGAUAGUUACCAUCUAUACUGAUAGCAGAUACGCACAAUGAACUAUUCAUAUAUUUACCAGUCAAUGGGAAAAUCCAGGCAAGAUGACAUCAACGGGAAAGACUACAUUGCAGAUGUAAUGAAUGAAAUUAAUGAAAAAUUUGUUAAAAGCAGUACAACUACCAGCAAAAAUAGCCAUUUGAUGCACUGCACUCUCAAAAGUGAAAAGAAAAAUGGACUCAAAGGACAAACUGCUGAAAAGUUAUUACUAUGUUUGACGAGGGGAACCUGUCCUACCAACAUCCUUCUAUAAAGGAGCAGCAAUAUUGAGACGUGGGCCUUGCCAUGUCUCAACGGGGGGGAUGGUAUGGAUAAAAAACAAACUACUAUACAGCUUAUGCAUUUACAAAAUAUUCUAAAAAAAUGUUGUUCCCGAUGCAUCACUUGCUCUAAAUAUAACCCCUAAAGGAAUUAUUCGACAAACAAGAAUAUAUUCCCUAUAGCAGAAUAUCCAUUUCAUUAUUUGCAUAUUGGAUUUUUGUGAAUUAACUAGGUGUCAAUGUAAAAAGUAUCGUUUGACAAUUAUUAACCUUUUUUCCAAAUGGGUAAAGGUGUUCCCCACAACUACUAAUGAUUCAUCAGCUGUAGCAAAAACUCUAGUAAAAGAUAUAAUACGAUUUGGGUUACCAGAUCGAAUUUAUAGUGAAAACGGACAACACAGAUUUUUCCUACCUGCUGCUAUCAGACUAUAUAACCAGAACCGUUAACUUCCUAUUGCUACAUUAACUCACCUACUGCAUCAGUGAUUUAUGUAAUAAUCUCCUCUAUGCACCAUUUGUGCAAAUCAGAACAAUAUUUAAAUUUAACAACCCUUCCAAUGCCUUCCAUAUGUCAAAGGUGUUAAAACAUCACAAGAAAUGUUUUUCUGAAAAUGCUUUUCAAGAUGUGCCUUGCCCACAGGAGGGACCACUGCAGGCUGGUGACUGGGUGUUCACCAGAGUCAUAAAGCGCAAGAACUGGACCUCACCCCGGUGGGAAGGCCCGUAUAGAGUGACGCUGACAACACCUACAGCCUGCAAAGUCGAAGGCAACUCUGGGUGGAUACACAACACACACUGUAAAAGACAACAGGUACAGGCAACCGAGUAGUAUUGUCCGUGAGAAAAAACCCAACUGAGGGAGGGGAAAAGUCUGCCUACAAAGGGGGUCAGCAGCAUUUAGAGCACUGGUCGUCUCAACGGCAGCGAAGAAACCAGCGGUACCUUCUCUCACUUAGGGGGACAUUCUCAUAUAUAUACUAUGAGGGGACACUGUCCAGCCACGGGAGUUGUACUAACUGCCCUUGUACUGUUGAUUGAUGCUAGGCCACUCCCCGACCUCAUCAAGGAUGAGGAGAGACCUCCUAGCCAGUAUCACACUAAUUUGUGGUAUUGUUAAAUGAAGACAGAGCACUCUUAACUUUACUGGUUCAGUGUGUCACUUAUUAUGAUGGUCCUGAUUUCAUGGGGACCCUCCCACAGUCUGAUAUCAAUUAUGUCUGUGGACACACAAUCUAUGAGCAUCUUCCACCCAAUUGGGUAGGGUACUGUGCCUGUUUAUGUUUCAGAUGGCUCCUACGUGAUAACACCACAGCAGAUGACUUCCAAGGGAUGGCUACGGAAGCAAGAGAUUGAUCUGAAGGAAAGUGAUCGGAUCUGGGGAUCAGACGUCCCCAUGGACAAGAAGCUCUGGACUACAGGCCAGAAAGUGGCACUAUCCCUAUUUCCAUGGGUGGGGGUAGGAAAAAUCAUGCUAAGAGUUGAAACCAUAAAUUACCGCAUGACCCUGUUCUUCAAUGUCACGGUAACGGCCCUUGCCAGUAUAGAUCGUCGUCUCACCGCCGUAACACUCCGUGAGUUACAGGACCGCCUGGUGUUAGAUCUGCUCACUGCAAGCCAAGGUGGAGUGUGUGCAAUAGUGGGCCCCAAGUGCUGCACAUACAUUCCAGGAGACGACCAAGACGCAAAGGUCACCCAACAGGCACUCUGUGACCUACAGCACAUAUCCAAUGUGCAGGCGGCUGAUGUAGUGAAAGACAAAUCCUGGUUUGGUUGGUUUAGGUCUGGCACAUGGACUGACAUUAUGAUGAAGAUUUUUGGACCGAUUCUACUGAUUCUUUUGGUUCUGAUGCUGAUUGUGUUGUGCGUAAUUCCCUGUUUGAGGGCCAUGAUCAUCAGGCUGGUGAAUCAAGGCCUUCUCAGGGUGUGCGCAGUCAUGCACUCUCAACAAAUACACUACACACCUUUAAAGCUUGAUAACUGUAAAGUGAACCUCCACGAUGUCGACGGAAAUGGACGCUAAGCUGUAAAUAUUGUGCUUCUGUGCUUUUGACCCUACCUCCGAUGUACUAACAUUUAUUCCAUGUUUUAUGAUGACUGCACUCAAAAUCAAAAGACGUUGUGCUGUUCUGAUGUAUGCAUGAUUGUUUAAUGAGUGUUUCAAUGUUAAACAGGAGGGUAAUGUUGGAGAAAUACUGCAUUUAAUCAUUGAAACAUUGUUGGAAUUUAUUUUGCUGAUCUGCUCAAGCCUUGUCAGCUGUGCUAUAGCCUUGAAGUUUUCUCCCUUCUGCUCUGCAAGAAAUAGGGAGUACCAGUGUGUAGCAUCCUUAUCUGAUGUGCCCAAUGCUUGCUUUGUGCAGAGAAUAUUUCCUACGUACUGUGUGACUAUGCACCUCCCAGAAUGCAAUACAUAUUAUGAGCUGAAUCCCUGUCUUCUCUUCAGUGAGAGGAAGUUGCCUUUGCUGUAAACUGCUCACUCCUUGCAAGUAAAAUCCUGAAGAAGGUC